UAAUAUAAUUGGAGGGCAACAUUAAGAUUGCCCUUUGAUGAUUCCGUAUGCAUGGUUUGGGUCCUGCGCAAUAGGAUGCCGUGAACCUUGUCAGGUCCGGAAGGAAGCAGCAAUAAGCGGAAGUUUCUAUGUGCCGCAGAUUCGCCUUCUCCAACGCCUGCGGAAUCAUCAAAGGGCAGUAUGUUU
rnacentral:SRP_RNA from 1 species